CGGUUGAUCCUGCCGGAGGUUACUGCUAUCGGAGUUCGAUUAAGCCAUGCGAGUCUAAAGGUUUCUUCGGAAGNNUGGCGGACUGCUCAGUAACACGUGGAUAACNUACCCUUGGGACUGGAAUAACCCCGGGAAACUGGGGAUAAUACCGGAUAGAUCAGGGAUGCUGGAAUGCACCUUGAUCCAAAGCUCCGGCGCCCAAGGAUGGGUCUGCGGCCUAUCAGGUUGUAGUGGGUGUAACGUACNUACUAGCCGACGACGGGUACGGGUUGUGAGAGCAAGAGCCCGGAGAUGGAUUCUGAGACACGAAUCCAGGCCCUACGGGGUGCAGCAGGCGCGAAACCUUUACAAUGUGCGAAAGCAUGAUAAGGGAACUCCGAGUGCCAGUAUCUAAUACUGGCUGUCCUUGUGCCUAAACCGCACAAGAUAGCAAGGGCCGGGUAAGACCGGUGCCAGCCGCCGCGGUAACACCGGCGGCCCGAGUGGUAGCCGCUAUUAUUGGGUCUAAAGGGUCCGUAGCCGGUUCGAUAAGUCCUCUGGGAAAUCUGGUUGCUUAACAAUCAGACUGCCAAGGGAUACUGUUGAACUUGAGACCGGGAGAGGUAAGAGGUACUUCAGGGGUAGGAGUGAAAUCUUGUAAUCCCUGGGGGACCAUCUGUGGCGAAGGCGUCUUACCAGAACGGGUCUGACGGUGAGGGACGAAAGCUGGGGGCGCAAACCGGAUUAGAUACCCGGGUAGUCCCAGCCGUAAACGAUGCUCGCUAUGUGUCAGGUACGGUGUGACCGUAUCUGGUACCGUAGGGAAGCCGUGAAGCGAGCCACCUGGGAAGUACGGUCGCAAGACUGAAACUUAAAGGAAUUGGCGGGGGAGCAC
rnacentral:rRNA from 1 species